GUUGCUCUUUGUUGAUCCUG
rnacentral:piRNA from 1 species